AGAGUUUGAUCCUGGCUCAGAUUGAACGCUGGCGGCAGGCCUAACACAUGCAAGUCGAGCGGUAGCACAGAGAGCUUGCUCUCGGGUGACGAGCGGCGGACGGGUGAGUAAUGUCUGGGAAACUGCCUGAUGGAGGGGGAUAACUACUGGAAACGGUAGCUAAUACCGCAUAACGUCGCAAGACCAAAGAGGGGGACCUUCGGGCCUCUUGCCAUCAGAUGUGCCCAGAUGGGAUUAGCUAGUAGGUGGGGUAAUGGCUCACCUAGGCGACGAUCCCUAGCUGGUCUGAGAGGAUGACCAGCCACACUGGAACUGAGACACGGUCCAGACUCCUACGGGAGGCAGCAGUGGGGAAUAUUGCACAAUGGGCGCAAGCCUGAUGCAGCCAUGCCGCGUGUAUGAAGAAGGCCUUCGGGUUGUAAAGUACUUUCAGCGAGGAGGAAGGCAUUGUGGUUAAUAACCGCAGUGAUUGACGUUACUCGCAGAAGAAGCACCGACUAACUCCGUGCCAGCAGCCGCGGUAAUACGGAGGGUGCGAGCGUUAAUCGGAAUUACUGGGCGUAAAGCGCACGCAGGCGGUCUGUCAAGUCGGAUGUGAAAUCCCCGGGCUCAACCUGGGAACUGCAUUCGAAACUGGCAGGCUAGAGUCUUGUAGAGGGGGGUAGAAUUCCAGGUGUAGCGGUGAAAUGCGUAGAGAUCUGGAGGAAUACCGGUGGCGAAGGCGGCCCCCUGGACAAAGACUGACGCUCAGGUGCGAAAGCGUGGGGAGCAAACAGGAUUAGAUACCCUGGUAGUCCACGCCGUAAACGAUGUCGACUUUGGAGGUGGUUCCCUUGAGGAGUGGCUUCCGGGAGCUAACGCGUUAAGUCGACCGCCUGGGGAGUACGGCCGCAAGGUUAAAACUCAAAUGAAUUGACGGGGGCCCGCACAAGCGGUGGAGCAUGUGGUUUAAUUCGAUGCAACGCGAAGAACCUUACCUACUCUUGACAUCCAGAGAACUUAGCAGAGAUGCUUUGGUGCCUUCGGGAACUCUGAGACAGGUGCUGCAUGGCUGUCGUCAGCUCGUGUUGUGAAAUGUUGGGUUAAGUCCCGCAACGAGCGCAACCCUUAUCCUUUGUUGCCAGCGGUUCGGCCGGGAACUCAAAGGAGACUGCCAGUGAUAAACUGGAGGAAGGUGGGGAUGACGUCAAGUCAUCAUGGCCCUUACGAGUAGGGCUACACACGUGCUACAAUGGCAUAUACAAAGAGAAGCGACCUCGCGAGAGCAAGCGGACCUCACAAAGUAUGUCGUAGUCCGGAUCGGAGUCUGCAACUCGACUCCGUGAAGUCGGAAUCGCUAGUAAUCGUAGAUCAGAAUGCUACGGUGAAUACGUUCCCGGGCCUUGCACUCACCGCCCGUCA
rnacentral:rRNA from 1 species